AUACGUAGGGGGCGAGCGUUAUCCGGAUUUAUUGGGCGUAAAGCGUGUGUAGGCGGUUUGUUAAGUUUAAGAUUAAAGCCCGAGGCUUAACCUCGGUUCGUCUUAAAAACUGGCAGACUUGAGUGCAGUAGAGGCCAGUGGAAUUUCUAGUGUAGAGGUUAAAUGCGUAGAUAUUAGAAGGAACACCAGUGGCGAAGGCGGCUUGCUGGGCUGUUACUGACGCUGAGACACGAAAGCGUGGGGAGCAAAUAGGAUUAGAUACCCUAGUAGUCCACGCCGUAAACGAUGAGUACUAAGUGUCGGGUAACCGGUGCUGAAGUUAACACAUUAAGUACUCCGCCUGAGUAGUACGGUCGCAAGGCUGAAACUCAAAUGAAUUGACGGGG
rnacentral:rRNA from 1 species